rnacentral:tRNA from 1 species
AAAUAGAAAGUAAAACAUUACACUUAGUUUCGACCUAAACCUUUGACAUUUAUAUGUCUCUAUUUA